rnacentral:lncRNA from 1 species
AAUCUUCCUGCUGAUAUUAAAGAAUCAAUAACAGAUAUUAUUAAGUUCAUGCUACGCGAAUGACGCUUACCUUCAGAUGGCCAUUGGCAAUGCUCCCUGGCCUAUUGGUGUCACUAUGGUCGGCAUCCACGCCAGAACUGGCAGGGAAAAGAUUUUUUCCAAGCAUGUUGCCCAUGUCUUAAAUGAUGAAACCCAACGAAAAUACAUUCAGGGACUGAAGAGGUUAAUGACAAUCUGCCAGAAGCACUUUCCUACAGACCCGUCCAAGUGUGUGGAGUACAAUGCACUGUAAGGUGCUGUAAAG